GGCCCGAUGGUCUAGAAGCAUGAUUCUCGCUUAGGGUGCGAGAGGUCCCGGGUUCAAUUCCCGGUCGGGCCC
rfam:Nematostella vectensis strain CH2 x CH6 NEMVEscaffold_18_Cont3434, whole genome shotgun sequence.